rnacentral:rRNA from 1 species
AUUGAACGCUGGCGGCAUGCCUUACACAUGCAAGUCGAACGGCAGCACGGGGCAACCUGGUGGCGAGUGGCGAACGGGUGAGUAAUGCAUCGGAACGUACCUUUCAGUGGGGGAUAACGUAGCGAAAGUUACGCUAAUACCGCAUAUUCUGUGAGCAGGAAAGCAGGGGAUCGCAAGACCUUGCGCUGAUUGAGCGGCCGAUGUCAGCUUAGCUAGUUGGUGAGGUAAAGGCUCACCAAGGCGACGAUCUGUAGCGGGUCUGAGAGGAUGAUCCGCCACACUGGAACUGAGACACGGUCCAGACUCCUACGGGAGGCAGCAGUGGCGAAUUUUGGACAAUGGGGGCAACCCUGAUCCAGCCAUGCCGCGUGAGUGGAGAAGGCCUUCGGGUUGUAAAGCUCUUUCGGCCGGGAAGAAAUCGCACGGGCUAAUACCCUGUGUGGAUGACGGUACCGGAAUAAGAAGCACCGGCUAACUACGUGCCAGCCGCCGCGGUAAAAC